AUUGAACGCUGGCGGCAGGCUUAACACAUGCAAGUCGAACGAGUGGCGGACGGGUGAGUAAUGCUUGGGGAUCUAGCUUAUGGAGGGGGAUAACUACGGGAAACUGUAGCUAAUACCGCGUACCAUCGGAUGAGCCCAAUUGGGAUUAGUUAGGUGGUGAGGUAAAGGCUCACCAAGCCGACGAUCCCUAGCUGGUCUGAGAGGAUGACCAGCCACACUGGGACUGAGACAUGGCCCAGACUCCGACGGGAGGCAGCAGUGGGUAAUAUUGCGCAAUGGGUGCAAGCUGACGGAGCAAGGCCGCGUGAGUGAUGACGGCCUUCGGGUUGUAAAGCGCUGUUAUUCGGGAGACGGUACCGAAAUAGAAAGCCACGGCUAACUACGUGCCAGCAGCCGCGGUAAUAC
rnacentral:rRNA from 1 species